rnacentral:rRNA from 1 species
CGCAGGCUGCAACUCGCCUGCGUGAAGUUGGAAUUGCUAGUAAUCGCGGAUCAGCAUGCCGCGGUGAAUACGUUCCCGGGCCUUGUACACACCGCCCGUCACACCAUGGGAGUUUGUAACACCCGAAGUCAGUAUCCUAACCGCAAGGGGGGAGCUGCCGAAGGUGGGAUAAGCGACUGGGGGUGAAGUCGUAACAAGGUAGC